AGUGAACGCUGGCGGCGUGCUUAACACAUGCAAGUCGAACGAGAACGGAACAUAGCUUGCUAUAUUUGUCAGCUAAGUGGCGCACGGGUGAGUAAUGUAUAGAUAACCUGCCCUUAAGAAAGGAAUAACAGUUGGAAACGACUGCUAAUGCCCUAUAUGCCUUUAAUACAUAAGUAUGCAAGGGAAACGCUUUAGUGCUUAAGGAUGGGUCUGUAUAGUAUCAGCUUGUUGGUGAGGUAAUGGCUCACCAAGGCUAUGACGCCUAACUGGUUUGAGAGGAUGAUCAGUCACACUGGAACUGAGACACGGUCCAGACUCCUACGGGAGGCAGCAGUGGGGAAUAUCGCACAAUGGACGAAAGUCUGAUGCAGCAACGCCGCGUGGAGGAUGACACAUUUCGGUGCGUAAACUCCUUUUAUAUAGGAAGAUAAUGACGGUACUAUAUGAAUAAGCACCGGCUAACUCCGUGCCAGCAGCCGCCGUAA
rnacentral:rRNA from 1 species